GCGAAAGCGGAUGAGGCUAAACCGAUCGCAUGUCAAGCCGGCAGGCGUUGUGUGGUCGGGGUCGUGGGACGAUCCAGUGUUCUCUGCCGAGGGCACAGGGAGUCAGAAAGUCAUGUGUUAGUGGAAGGCCUCUGGAAGGGGUCGCCGUAGAGGGUGAGAGCCCCGUAGACGAAAACUUGAUAGCUCCUGUGAUGUGUCCCCGAGUAGCAGCGGGCCCGUGAAAUCUGCUGUGAAUCUGCCGGGACCAC
rnacentral:rRNA from 14 species